AUGGCCAGCGACGAGGAGACCAGCCGCGUGGUUCGCGCACUCGUGGAGAAGCACCUCGAGUCCGUGGUGAGCCUGAGGGCCUUCAAGGAGCCCUCCGAACCACAGCUGGGAGACGAGGGGAACCAGGACAGCGGCGAGGAGCUCAUGGGAGAGGAGGGGGAGGAGGAGGAGAGCAGCGCCCCCCAAAAAGAGGCCCUGACGCCGGUGUGCUAUGGCACCGGAAGCAUCAUCCACUCCUGCGACCGAUUCGCCCUGGUGUUCUCCGUCGCCCACACCUUCGCCCCGUUCCGUUCGAGGCAACCUGGGGCGCUGGUCGACGAGGACACCACGCUCCUCGUCGAGUUCUCGGAUGGGCAGAUCCGUCCCGGCCAUUUUCGAGCCAUAGGAUGGAGCCAUGACAUGUCACUCAUCAUGGUGCUCACCAACACAAGGUACCGGCCAGUCAAAUUCAUCCACCACAGCUGCCCUGCCAUGGGGUUCUCCGCUCAUGAACGGGAGGCGCGUGUGUACACCAUCUGCACCUACACUAUAAGAGGACAUGAUUUUGUGUGUGUGUGUGUGUGUGUGUGUGUGUGUGUUUAG
rnacentral:rRNA from 1 species